rnacentral:rRNA from 1 species
AUGAACGCUGGCGGCGUGCCUCAUCCCUGCAAGUCGAGCGAACAGUCGAGGAGCUUGCUCCUCUGACGUUAGCGGCGGACGGGUGAGUAACACGUGGAUAACCUACCUAUAAGACUGGGAUAACUUCGGGAAACCGGAGCUAAUACCGGAUAAUAUAUUGAACCGCAUGGUUCAAUAGUGAAAGACGGUUUUGCUGUCACUUAUAGAUGGAUCCGCGCCGCAUUAGCUAGUUGGUAAGGUAACGGCUUACCAAGGCAACGAUGCGUAGCCGACCUGAGAGGGUGAUCGGCCACACUGGAACUGAGACACGGUCCAGACUCCUACGGGAGGCAGCAGUAGGGAAUCUUCCGCAAUGGGCGAAAGCCUGACGGAGCAACGCCGCGUGAGUGAUGAAGGUCUUCGGAUCGUAAAACUCUGUUAUUAGGGAAGAACAAAUGUGUAAGUAACUAUGCACGUCUUGACGGUACCUAAUCAGAAAGCCACGGCUAACUACGUG